rnacentral:rRNA from 1 species
AGUAAAAGUCGUAACAAGGUUUCCGUAGGUGAACCUGCGGAAGGAUCAUUAAUGAGAAGCGGCCUCGCGGCCGUGGGGGCUUCGGUCCCCGACUCACACCCUCUGUUUACAUACGUUUGUUGCUUUGGCGGGCCUUGGGGUCAUACCCAUGCGUCUCAAGGGCUGCUCCGGUGACGGACAGCCUGGCGCGUGCGCCCGUCAAAGGCCCUAUCAAUUCUGUUUAUCAGUGUCGUCCGAGUAAAAACCAAAUAAAUUAAAACUUUCAACAACGGAUCUCUUGGUUCUGGCAUCGAUGAAGAACGCAGCGAAAUGCGAUAAGUAAUGUGAAUUGCAGAAUUCAGUGAAUCAUCGAAUCUUUGAACGCACAUUGCGCCCCUCGGUAUUCCGGGGGGCAUGCCUGUUCGAGCGUCAUUGCACCCCUCAAGCGUAGCUUGGUAUUGGGCCCUCGCCUCCCCCGGCGUGCCCGAAAAGCAUUGGCGGCCCGCGGUGGUUUCAAGCGUAGUAAUUUUCUCCCGCUCUGCAAACCUCAUCGUGGGCUCGCCAGCAACCCCACACUUUCAAUGAAUUGACCUCGGAUCAGGUAGGGAUACCCGCUGAACUUAAGCAUAUCAAUAAGCGGAGGA